UAUAAAAAAAAUAUAUGAUAUAAUAUAUUUUAUAUUUUAUUUAAGGUGCUGAUAGCUUUGUCUUCUCUUGGCCUUCAUCAGUUUUAAAAAACAUUUGUGACUGCGUGCAAUGCAGUUCAUAGAAUCAGUGUUUAUUUCGUAAUAGUAUUUUAAGUAUUUUUUUAGAACACAACUGUUCUAAUAGAAUUAUAACAACUAUUCGUGAAAAUAGAGUCAGUGUUUGCUCGCUCAUUGUAAUUUAAGCAAUCGCAUCAAUGAUUUUUUAUUUUAUUUUUUUUUUCUUUUUUCCUUUUUAUAUUCGUCUCGCGUAUAUAUUAGAAUCAGUGAUUCAAGAGCAUAAGAUGAUCAUCCAUCACGCGAAGACUUUCCACUUCCUAUUAUUCAAUAAUGACUUCCCAUGGAUCAGCACCAAUGCAGAUUUUUCGCAUCUUUGGUGAGUCGCAUGCAUUUUGAUUCCUCCGGUCAUUCAAUCAUGUCGUAGGAUGAAAGAUCCGAAUCGACACGGAUGACUGGUUGUAUACGUAGAAUUUUGCACGAGCACAGUGACCACGGGUAUUUAUUAUACUCGUGAGUAGUGACAUUUCUUUUUUUUCGUUUUAUUUAUUAGUUCAGGCUAGGUCUUCUUGUACAUCGCGUUUUU